rnacentral:rRNA from 1 species
CGGGUGAGUAUAAUGUGGGAAUCUGCCUUUUGGUUUGGAAUAACACGAGGAAACUUGUGCUAAUACCGAAUAAGCCUUUACAGGGAAAGUUUUAACGCCGAAAGAUGAGCCCGCACUUGAUUAGCUAGUUGGUAAGGUAAAAGCUUACCAAGGCAAUGAUCAAUAGCUGUUCUUAGAGGAAGACCAGCCACAUUGGGACUGAGACACGGCCCAGACUCCUACGGGAGGCAGCAGUGGGGAAUCUUGCACAAUGGGGGAAACCCUGAUGCAGCGAUGCCGCGUGAGUGAAGAAGGCCUUUGGGUUGUAAAACUCUUUCGUCGGGGAAGAAAAUGACUGUACCCGAAUAAGAAGGUCCGGCUAACUUCGUGCCAGCAGCCGCGGUAAUACGAAGGGACCUAGCGUAGUUCGGAAUUACUGGGCUUAAAGAGCUCGUAGGUGGUUAAAAAAGUUGAUGGUGAAAUCCCAAGGCUCAACCUUGGAACUGCCAUCAAAACUUUUUAGCUA